rnacentral:rRNA from 1 species
GACGAACGCUGGCGGCGUGCUUAACACAUGCAAGUCGAACGAUGAACCGGUUUCGGCCGGGGAUUAGUGGCGAACGGGUGAGUAACACGUGGGCAAUCUGCCCUGCACUCUGGGAUAAGCCCGGGAAACUGGGUCUAAUACCGGAUACGACACUCCGAGGCAUCUUGGGGUGUGGAAAGUUCCGGCGGUGCAGGAUGAGCCCGCGGCCUAUCAGCUUGUUGGUGGGGUAAUGGCCUACCAAGGCGACGACGGGUAGCCGGCCUGAGAGGGUGACCGGCCACACUGGGACUGAGACACGGCCCAGACUCCUACGGGAGGCAGCAGUGGGGAAUAUUGCACAAUGGGCGAAAGCCUGAUGCAGCGACACCGCGUGAGGGAUGACGGCCUUCGGGUUGUAAACCUCUUUCAGCAGGGAAGAAGCGAAAGUGACGGUACCUGCAGAAGAAGCACCGGCUAACUACGUG